AUCCUACGGGAGGCAGCAGUGGGGAAUUUUCUGCAAUGGGCGAAAGCCUGACAGAGCAAUACCGCGUGAGGGAUGACAGCCCUAUGGGUUGUAAACCUCUUUUUUCAGGGAGGAAGUUCUGACGUUACCUGAAGAAUAAGCAUCGGCUAACUCCGUGCCAGCAGCCGCGGUAAUAAU
rnacentral:rRNA from 1 species